UUGGCCACGUCCAUCAACUCCCCUUGUGUUCGCCGUGGGCGCUUGGGUGAAUGAACUAUAAGGUUAGGGUAUGUGCCUUUCCUAACAGCAAUUGCUUUUAGGAGAGUUGGUAGCGCCUGAGGUCCUACAAGUGGUAUCAGAGCCGAGGUCACGGGUUCGAACCCCAGGGGUGUCGCUGGGGGGGAGAUUGUUGACAGAUCAGAGGGUUGGCCGCGUCC
rnacentral:lncRNA from 1 species